rnacentral:rRNA from 1 species
UACGAAGGGGGCUAGCGUUGCUCGGAAUCACUGGGCGUAAAGCGCACGUAGGCGGAUUGUUAAGUCAGGGGUGAAAUCCUGGAGCUCAACUCCAGAACUGCCUUUGAUACUGGCGAUCUCGAGUCCGGGGAGAGGUGAGUGGAACUGCGAGUGUAGAGGUGAAAUUCGUAGAUAUUCGCAAAGACACCAGUGGCGAAGGCGGCUCACUGGCCCGGUAC